rnacentral:misc_RNA from 1 species
UCGUAACAAGGUUUCCGUAGGUGAACCUGCGGAAGGAUCAUUAACUAUAUGAGGAGAGGGCUGGGUCUCGGCCUGCCCCUCUCUGACUAUUCUACCCGUGUCUUUUUGCGUACUAUUUGUUUCCUCGGUAGGCUUGCCUGCCGAUAGGACACUAUAAAAACCUUUUGUAAUUGCAGUCAGCGUCAGUAAAAACUUAAUAGUUACAACUUUCAACAACGGAUCUCUUGGUUCUGGCAUCGAUGAAGAACGCAGCGAAAUGCGAUAAGUAGUGUGAAUUGCAGAAUUCAGUGAAUCAUCGAAUCUUUGAACGCACAUUGCGCCCCUUGGUAUUCCAUGGGGCAUGCCUGUUCGAGCGUCAUUUGUACCCUCAAGCUUUGCUUGGUGUUGGGCGUUUUGUCCCGCGUUUGCGUGUGGACUCGCCUUAAAGCGAUUGGCAGCCGGCAUAUUGGCCUUGGAGCGCAGCACAUUUUGCGCUUCUGGUCUUGAAUGUUGGCGUCCAUUAAGCCUAUACAUUUGCUCUUGACCUCGGAUCAGGUAGGGAUACCCGCUGAACUUAAGCAUAUCAAUAA